AGUGAACGCUGGCGGUAGGCCUAACACAUGCAAGUCGAACGGCAGCACAGUAAGAGCUUGCUCUUACGGGUGGCGAGUGGCGGACGGGUGAGGAAUACAUCGGAAUCUACUUUUUCGUGGGGGAUAACGUAGGGAAACUUACGCUAAUACCGCAUACGACCUACGGGUGAAAGCAGGGGAUCUUCGGACCUUGCGCGAUUGAAUGAGCCGAUGUCGGAUUAGCUAGUUGGCGGGGUAAAGGCCCACCAAGGCGACGAUCCGUAGCUGGACUGAGAGGAUGGUCGGCCACACUGGAACUGGAACACGGUCAAGACUCCUACGGGAGGCAGCAGAGGGGAAUAUUGGACAAUGGGCGCAAGCCUGAUCCAGCCAGACCGCGUGGGUGAAGAAGGCCUUCGGGUUGUAAAGCCCUUUUGUUGGGAAAGAAAAGCAGCAGGUUAAUACCCCGCUGUUCUGACGGUACCCAAAGAAUAAGCACCGGCUAACUUCGUG
rnacentral:rRNA from 1 species